UCUCCGUUGGUGAACCAGCGGAGGGAUCAUUACAGAGUUCAUGCCCUACCGGGUAGAUCUCCCACCCUAUGUUAUUAUUACUUUGUUGCUUUGGCGGGCCGUUAGGCUCCGGCCCGACUACCGGCCCCGGCUGGUAAGCGCCCGCCAGAGGACCCAAAACCCUGAAUAUUAGUGUCGUCUGAGUACUAUAUAAUAGUUAAAACUUUCAACAACGGAUCUCUUGGUUCUG
rnacentral:misc_RNA from 1 species